GUAUAUAUAACUACCGCCGCAAAGCGGGAGCAACAACAACUGUAGCAAUAUGUAACCAGUCGGGUGGCAACAACUACAGCAACUGCAACAACAACAAUUGUAACAACUAAAACCAUAACAACGAAAACGAGGGCUUGCUGUCAACUACUUUUAUUUCUGUCUCUUGGGUUGGUGGUAAUUUUAAUGUCGUUUUUUUUGGGUUUUAUUUUUUGGUUUCUCAGCUAUAAGAAACUAUGCCAAAGUUAACCACGGAUUACAAUAAUAAUCACAAAUGUUCAGGUGCGGUCAUCCAAUUAUCCUAAUGUUCUUUACUAAAGGCUAGUUAACUAGUUAAUAAAGUAAAUCUGCGAUAAUUAACACAAAACUGCAAACUAAUAUGUUUCAAUGCUAAACUUGUCUAUUAACAUACUUAUGUUUAAAAAAAAUUAAAACUUUGUCAGUACUAAAUAACAUUUUGUUUGCGAUUGUUUGUAGAUAUUUGCUUAUAAUAGUUUCACACCAAAACAAUUCCAUGAAUCAAUUUUUUAGGGUUUCUCUAAUCUGAUAUUUUGUGUUCCCUUUGCGGAUAUAAGCCUAAAAAACCAACAUUUUAAGUCGUGAAUCACACAUUGAAUAUUUAAAAAAAUUUAAAUAUGAGUAACACCACAUUCGGACAUACGUACUGUUAUUCUAUAUUUUCAUAUAUGGAUCUUACAUUUUCUAUACAUCUCCCUUAUGUUGACUAAGACUAUCUUUCAUUCUAGAUUAAACAUUAGCUUUCCUGACAAAAUCUGAAAACAACAGUAUUUGGAAAUUCUCUGCUAAUAUUGUGACCUCCACUGUAAACAGUGGGCGCUGGCAAUGUCGCUGGCAACAAUUAUGCACCCUGUUGGCAAUGCCGAGCGUACACGCUAUCGAAUUGGCUUGGCUUAGCUAGCGACUAAUUGGCUAAUUAGACAAUAGUGAAGCGCAAAGAGAACCGAUUAAACCGAUGAUUUCGAUUACAUUCGCUAAUGCGAUAAAACAACAGGAACGACACAAAUUUGCUGACACAAUUACGCAUGUUUUGGCGUGGAUAUGACACAAAUAGAUUCGCGUGCCAUUGUUUUAUUUGUUUUUCUGUUAACACGCCCAGAAAACAUACAUAAACCUAUAUUCGGUGGAUAUCGAGCACAAAUUUGGUUUCGCUGCGGGCCACAAACGGAAUCCGAUAACAAUUACAAAACUAUUGAACCAAUAAAGUUAAGGCUUUUAAAAACGGCAAAAACAAUUCUCCUUGUUUUUAUUUAAAAAAAAAAACAACAAGAAUGAGAGAAAAAUAGAGAGCGCGAAAGAGAAGCAUAAACGGAAACCACAAUGGCGUCCGAUGGCAAGCGAAUAUCACGACGAAACGAAACAGCAUUUGCCAUAUGACCAUUUAUGAUUCGCAUUUUCGCUGAGUAAACAUUUCCAUCCCAUCAAUUCCAUAUGCAAAUAUUAAUGACCUUCACUUUCACCUCACACGCUAAAAAACAUUUAAUUGCAGAGGGAGUAAGGUGAACAAGGUGAUCAAUGAUCAUACUCUUUAAAAUAUUGUCUAUUUCCUAAAUAUUUUCCUCCCCUGUAAUUAAGCUACGAAACAUUUUAAUCAGAUCAAUCAAAAAACUAAAAAGAAAAUCUUUUGAAGAAUCAACAAUAUUCAAAAAAGGUGAGUAUCCCCUUUAAAAUGUAACCGUCGUGAUAACAAUCGAGUAUAUUUCAAUAGUUUAACAACCAUAAAGCCAUCUCUAACACACUCAAACAGGAAUGAAACGGAAAGAUCGAUAAAAGUGAUCAGUACAACAGGUGAUUAGCUUCGAUUAAUUUUCACAUUCCCAUACAAGUAUGUACAUUGAAUGCUUUAAAAAUAAAUGAACCCGUUCACAAUCCGGUGCAUGUGUAUUCGUUUGCGGUGGCGGUGACUUCCCAAAACGGAAAAAAAUAAAAUAAAGCAACAAAUGUACAAUAUCAAUUGCUGCUUUAGUUGUUGUGACAGUGUGAGAGUGAUGUGUGUGCAUUGGUGUACGAAUAAUCUGAAACAAAUAACGGCCUUCUCUCCAAGCGACAACAAGACAAUUACUGUAAAUAGGUAAAAUAACAAGACAACCAGCAGUUGCACAAAUAUUGAAAAGGCACACAGGCUGACAGACCAACCAAAGGUAUUACGGUAAUCAAUGUCAAACGCUGCCGAUUUUGUCGGUAUUUAUGUGUGUUUGUGUGCCUUCAGCCGAAUACAACAGCACCUUCGCUUUGGAAGAGCGACACACACGCUCCUAUCAAAUCGCUUGGAAAGAGAGAGAUCCACAUAGAGCGAGCGCGAACAAUACGCGUCAAAUGUCAAAAUCGAAAACAACAACAAAUACCAUUAUCGAAACGACCUGGUGUUGUUCUACUUGAGAGAGCGUUUUUCGAAUAAAAUGAACGUAUUUGAAAGCUAAAAUAAUAUUUGCUUUUCCUAUUUAUGUUUCAUAGUUUUGUGGACUUUAAGCGCAAGUAAACUUAAAAAUGCCAGCCCACACAUACCAUUUACCUAUAAUACGAGUAUAUAUAUAUAUAUAUAUAUAUAUUGCGGAUAUAAAAAAGCACCACUUGUUGGCUUGAUUGAAUGCAGUGCGUGCGAGCGGGAUGGCAAGUUGUAGUUCGCCAAAGCAAGGCACUUUGGUAUGAUUGCAUUGCGGUAGCUAAAUUUUUGUUGAGACGGGGCGACGGCGACGUUUGGCUGGAGCGCGCGUGCACACACACAGAGACGCAACUACGCGAGAGAGUGGAGAAAUCAAUCAAGAGAGCACGUCGGCGAAGGGGGAGUGGAAAAAAAUCACAUAUGUAUGUGCGUCAGUGGAAGUGCGACAAGAUUUUCCACAAUAUUCCACGCAUCUUUGUUUCGUUUCUUAGAUAUAUGCACAUAUUAUUGCUUCGUUUUCUUUUCGCGU